CCUACGGGUGGCAGCAGUGAGGAAUAUUGGUCAAUGGACGAGAGUCUGAACCAGCCAAGUAGCGUGAAGGAUGCCUGCCCUAUGGGGUGUAAACUUCUUUUAUAAAGGAAUAAAACGAGGCAAGUGUGCCUUUUUGCAUGUACUUUAUGAAUAAGGAUCGGCUAACUCCGUGCCAGCCGCCUCGGUAAUACGGAGGAUCCGAGCGUUAUCCGGAUUUAUUGGGUUUAAAGGUAGCGUAGAUGGGUUGUUAAGUCAGUUGUGAAAGUUUGCGGCUCAACCGUAAAAUUGCAAUUGAUACUGGCAGUCUUGAGUACAGUUGAGGUAGGCGGAAUUCGUGGUGUAGCGGUGAAAUGCUUAGAUAUCACGAAGAACCCCGAUUGCGAAGGCAGCUUACUAAACUGUGACUGACAUUGAUGCUCGAAAGUGUGGGUAUCAAACAGGAUUAGAUACCCCUGUAGUC
rnacentral:rRNA from 1 species